UUAAUGGAGAGUUUGAUCCUGGCUCAGGACGAACGCUGGCGGCGUGCCUAAUACAUGCAAGUCGAGCGGGGUUAAUUAGAAGCUUGCUUCUAACUAACCUAGCGGCGGACGGGUGAGUAACACGUAGGCAACCUGCCCACAAGACAGGGAUAACUACCGGAAACGGUAGCUAAUACCCGAUACAUCCUUUUCCUGCAUGGGAGAAGGAGGAAAGGCGGAGCAAUCUGUCACUUGUGGAUGGGCCUGCGGCGCAUU
rnacentral:rRNA from 1 species